GGAAUCUUGGGCAAUGGGCGCAAGCCUGACCCAGCGACGCCGCGUGAGGGAUGAAGGCCUUCGGGUCGUAAACCUCUGUCAGGAGGGAAGAACGGCGGUGAGGUGAACAAUCCCGCUGUCUGACGGUACCUCCGCAGGAAGCGCCGGCUAACCCCGUGCCAGCCGCCGCGGUAAUACGGAGGGCGCAAGCGUUGUUCGGAAUCACUGGGCGUAAAGCGCGUGUAGGCGGCUCUGCAAGUCGGGUGUGAAAUCCCGAGGCUCAACCUCGGAACUGCACUCGAUACUGCUUGGCUCGAGUCCCGGAGAGGGUGGCGGAAUUCCCGGUGUAGGGGUGAAAUCCGUAGAUAUCGGGAGGAACACCAGUGGCGAAGGCGGCCACCUGGACGGUGACUGACGCUGAGACGCGAAAGCGUGGGGAGCAAAC
rnacentral:rRNA from 1 species